rnacentral:rRNA from 1 species
UUCGUGUGAACAGUGGUUGAUCACGAGUUAGUCGGUCCUAAGUUCAAGGCGAAAGCCGAAAAUUUUCAAGUAAACAAAUGUGAAAUAUUUAAAUAUUGUUAAUUAUUAUACACUUGAAUAAUUUUGAACGAAAGGGAAUACGGUUCCAAUUCCGUAACCUGUUGAGUAUCCGUUUGUUAUUAAAUAUGGGCCUCGUGCUCAUCCUGGCAACAGGAACGACCAUAAAGAAGCCGUCGAGAGAUAUCGGAAGAGUUUUCUUUUCUGUUUUAUAGCCGUACUACCAUGGAAGUCUUUCGCAGAGAGAUAUGGUAGAUGGGCUAGAAGAGCAUGACAUAUACUGUUGUGUCGAUAUUUUCUCCUCGGACCUUGAAAAUUUAUGGUGGGGAUACGCAAACUUCUCAACAGGCCGUACCAAUAUCCGCAGCUGGUCUCCAAGGUGAAGAGUCUCUAGUCGAUAGAAUA